CCAGAGGAGCAUGCUGAUUAUUCUGAUAAGCAAGGAAGGAAACGGAGGGAUACCCCAUCUAUGGAUGGAGGGGAUGGCUCUGGCGAAGCAUCAAUUGAUCAAUCUGAAGAGAACAAAGAGGUAGAUUAUGCGCCAACAGAUUUGCCCCUUGACACAACAGUGGAGCCCACAGAUACUAUACAUUACGAUACCUUUGAAAUGCUAUUUGGAUUCACAACUUCACCACCUGAGAUGACAGAGGAGCCUGCAGAUCCUAUAUAUAACGAUACCUUUGAAACGAUAUUUGGAUUCACAACAUUGCCACCUGACACAUCAGAGGAGCAUGUUGAUUAUUAUGAUAAGCAAGUCAGGAAACGGAGGGAUGCCCCAUCUAUGGAUGGAGGGGAUGGCUCCGGCGAAGCAUCAAUUGAUCAAUCUGAAAAGAAUAAAAAUCUUGAGUCUAAAGUUGAGCAAAGAUCUAAACGGAAUGCUAAAGCCCAGACUACACUCUAUGGAAUCUUUCAACUGAGUGAUAUAGCAUGUGAAUCAGGAUCGAGCCCCAGUCAGAAUCUUUGUGGAUUAUCCUGUUCCGCUCUGACUGAUGAUGACAUCAAUGAUGACAUCGCUUGCCUGAGGGUUUUGCUUAACUUAAAGAUAGAAAAAAUAUUCACACAGGAGUGUCUGACUGUGGACCCCUCGGUUUACUUUACCACAUGUGGAUGAAAUGGCCAGCUUUAUCUCCUUCAUAUAAAACCACAAUCAUACUGACUUUCUGUAACUAUUCUUCAUGUUUACUGCAAUGUAUUCCAAUAAUACUUAGUUCUUCUGCAGAAUCGUUCUUUGUGUCUUGGAUAUUGAUUCGUUUUUUUCUUUAAGACAGCAAAUGUCGAUUGUAGUUUCUUUUAAUAUCAAAACAUAUCAUAUGUUGAUUCAUGGGCGAGGUAUGCAUAUAUUAAAAAUUAUUUUAACUACGCAACUAAUAAGAUACACUGUGCAUUCUGUCUUUUACACCAUACUUAUAUUAGUUUGCUUAAAAGGAUAUUUGGGUUAUGUUUACAAUAAUGAAGAUGUUUUAGAUAUGUACUGUAAGGUCUAAACGGAGUCGAAACUUGAAAAUUGAUACAUUUCUCUCUUGUGUAUUAAUUAAUACAACAAAAGCAGCAUUUUUGUCUGGUUCCGAUAUGCCAGUCUUAAAUGUAAGAUUACUGAAGUUUAUUUUAGAAUGCUUUAACAUGCACCUGUAGAGGAAACAAAUAAUGGUCAAAUGGUUUUGGAUCUAAGGUGACUUCAGGCUUCUGCGGCAGAUCUCUUUGUGUCAGUUCUUUAAAAACACACUUUAAUAAAAACACACAAAAAAACCCAAUAUAUUGAUAUAUAAUUAAAUUAUUUGUCACGUGAAUGUUACAGCACAGUGAAAUGAUUUUUCCGCGUAUUCCAGUUAGGCAGCUGGGGUCAGAAUACGUGUUGAGGGAGGGUACAGCGCCCCCUGCAGCAGAGAGGGUUAAGAGCCUUGAUCAAGGGCUCACCAGUGGAAGCAAAAUUAGAGAAUUAA